UACAGAGGUCUCAAGCGUUGUUCGGAUUCAUUGGGCGUAAUGGGUGCGUAGGCGGCAGCGCAAGUCAGGUGUGAAAUCCCGGGGCUCAACCCCGGAACUGCACUUGAUACUGCGUUGCUUGAGUACUGGAGAGGAGACUGGAAUUUACGGUGUAGCAGUGAAAUGCGUAGAUAUCGUAAGGAAGACCAGUGGCGAAGGCGAGUCUCUGGACAGUUACUGACGCUGAGGCACGAAGGCCAGGGGAGCAAACGGG
rnacentral:rRNA from 1 species